rnacentral:rRNA from 1 species
UACGAAGGUGGCAAGCGUUGUUCGGAUUUACUGGGCGUACAGGGAGCGUAGGCGGUUGGAUAAGCCCUCCGUGAAAUCUCCAGGCUUAACCUGGAAAGUGCAGAGGGGACUGUCCAGCUAGAGGAUGGGAGAGGAGCGCGGAAUUCCCGGUGUAGCGGUGAAAUGCGUAGAGAUCGGGAGGAAGGCCGGUGGCGAAGGCGGCGCUCUGGAACAUUUCUGACGCUGAGGCUCGAAAGCGUGGGGAGCAAACAGG